rnacentral:rRNA from 1 species
UACUAGAGUAGCACUCGCAUAUCAAUAAGCGGAGGAAAAGAAACUAACAAGGAUUCCCCUAGUAACGGCGAGUGAAGCGGGAAGAGCUCAAAUUUGAAAUCUUAAAGGGUUUCCCUUUACGAAUUGUAGUUUAAAGAAGUGUUUUCUGUUGAGGUUUUGGUAAAAGUUCUUUGGAAUAGGACAUCAUAGAGGGUGAGAAUCCCGUAUUUGACCUUUACUUUCAACUUUGUGAUACACUUUCAAAGAGUCGGAUUGUUUGGGAAUGCAGUCCAAAAUGGGUGGUAAAUUUCAUCUAAAGCUAAAUAUUGGCGAGAGACCGAUAGCGAACAAGUACCGUGAGGGAAAGAUGAAAAGAACUUUGAAAAGAGAGUUAAACAGUACGUGAAAUUGUCAAAAGGGAAGCGUUUGACACCAGUGUUGUUUUUCUGAAAAUCAAUUAAAGAACUGUUUAUGCUAAGCUGUUUAGACUUUAUCAGCUAUCUGUUUAGUUUUGAGCUUUUCUUUAAUGCACUUUUCAGUUAACAAGUCAACAUCAAUUUCUUUUGCUGCUAAAAAAGCUUGAGGAAGGUGGCUUGAGAUUCGUCUUAAGUGUUUAUAGCCUCUUGCCUAUGCAGUCGGAGAGAUUGAGGUCUGCAGCGUAGAUCCUUCGGGGCUAAAUGCAUUUGUGCUAAGUUAUAGCAUUUUAUAGACAACUUGUUGACUAUGAUUUGUCUUGUAGCUUACUCGCUUAUGUUAUUUUACCUACGCUUAGGAUGUUGAUCUACAGAGCGAGAGU